CGCUUCGGCGUGUGACUGCGUACCUUUUGUAUAAUGGGUCAGCGACUUAUAUUCUGUAGCAAGGUUAACCGAAUAGGGGAGCCGAAGGGAAACCGAGUCUUAACUGGGCGUUAAGUUGCAGGGUAUAGACCCGAAACCCGGUGAUCUAGCCAUGGGCAGGUUGAAGGUUGGGUAACACUAACUGGAGGACCGAACCGACUAAUGUUGAAAAAUUAGCGGAUGACUUGUGGCUGGGGGUGAAAGGCCAAUCAAACCGGGAGAUAGCUGGUUCUCCCCGAAAGCUAUUUAGGUAGCGCCUCGUGAAUUCAUCUCCGGGGGUAGAGCACUGUUUCGGCAAGGGGGUCAUCCCGACUUACCAACCCGAUGCAAACUGCGAAUACCGGAGAAUGUUAUCACGGGAGACACACGGCGGGUGCUAACGUCCGUCGUGAAGAGGGAAACAACCCAGACCGCCAGCUAAGGUCCCAAAGUCAUGGUUAAGUGGGAAACGAUGUGGGAAGGCCCAGACAGCCAGGAUGUUGGCUUAGAAGCAGCCAUCAUUUAAAGAAAGCGUAAUAGCUCACUGGUCGAGUCGGCCUGCGCGGAAGAUGUAACGGGGCUAAACCAUGCACCGAAGCUGCGGCAGCGACACUAUGUGUUGUUGGGUA
rnacentral:rRNA from 1 species